rnacentral:rRNA from 1 species
GAGUGAUCGAAAGAUGAAAAGCACCUUGAAAAGAGGGUUAAAUAGUACGUGAAAUUGUUGAAAGGGAAGCGCUUGUGACCAGACUUGGGCGCGGCGGAUCAUCCGGGGUUCUCUCCGGUGCACUUCGCCGCGUCUAGGCCAGCAUCAGUUCGUCGCGGGGGAAAAAGGCUUCGGGAACGUGGCUCCUCCGGGAGUGUUAUAGCCCGUUGCAUAAUACCCUGCUUUGGACUGAGGACCGCGCAUCUGCAAGGAUGCUGGCGUAAUGGUCACCAGCGAC